UACGUAGGGUCCGAGCGUUGUCCGGAAUUACUGGGCGUAAAGAGCUCGUAGGUGGUUUGUCGCGUUGUCCGUGAAAUCCCACAACUCAAUUGUGGGUCUGCGGGCGAUACGGGCAGACUGGAGUACUGCAGGGGAGACUGGAAUUCCUGGUGUAGCGGUGGAAUGCGCAGAUAUCAGGAGGAACACCGGUGGCGAAGGCGGGUCUCUGGGCCGAUACUGACGCUGAGGAGCGAAAGCGUGGGGAGCGAACAGG
rnacentral:rRNA from 1 species